GGGUUGUGAGGUUAAGCGACUAAGCGUACACGGUGGAUGCCCUGGCAGUCAGAGGCGAUGAAGGGCGUGCUAAUCUGCGAUAAGCGCCGGUAAGGUGAUAUGAACCGUUAUAACCGGCGAUACCCGAAUGGGGAAACCCAGUGUGACUCGUCACACUAUCAUUAACUGAAUCCAUAGGUUAAUGAGGCGAACCGGGGGAACUGAAACAUCUAAGUACCCCGAGGAAAAGAAAUCAACCGAGAUUCCCCCAGUAGCGGCGAGCGAACGGGGAGGAGCCCAGAGCCUGAAUCAGCAUGUGUGUUAGUGGAAGCGUCUGGAAAGGCGCGCGAUACAGGGUGACAGCCCCGUACACAAAAGCGCAUGUGCUGUGAGCUCGAUGAGUAGGGCGGGACACGUGGUAUCCUGUCUGAAUAUGGGGGGACCAUCCUCCAAGGCUAAAUACUCCUGACUGACCGAUAGUGAACCAGUACCGUGAGGGAAAGGCGAAAAGAACCCCGGCGAGGGGAGUGAAAAAGAACCUGAAACCGUGUACGUACAAGCAGUGGGAGCCCCACCACCAAAGCAUUCUCUGGUGUUGAAGGCCCUGCAAAGCAGCAUCGCGGUGGCGGAGCGUCGUUUGCGACGCCCAACACACAAAACAAGCGGUGAAUGCUUUGGGGUGGGGUGACUGCGUACCUUUUGUAUAAUGGGUCAGCGACUUAUAUUCUGUAGCAAGGUUAACCGAAUAGGGGAGCCGGAGGGAAACCGAGUCUUAAUUGGGCGUUAAGUUGCAGGGUAUAGACCCGAAACCCGGUGAUCUAGCCAUGGGCAGGUUGAAGGUUGGGUAACACUAACUGGAGGACCGAACCGACUAAUGUUGAAAAAUUAGCGGAUGACCUGUGGCUGGGGGUGAAAGGCCAAUCAAACCGGGAGAUAGCUGGUUCUCCCCGAAAGCUAUUUAGGUAGCGCCUCGUGAAUUCAUCUCCGGGGGUAGAGCACUGUUUCGGCUAGGGGGCCAUCCCGGCUUACCAACCCGAUGCAAACUGCGAAUACCGGAGAAUGUUAUCACGGGAGACACACGGCGGGUGCUAACGUCCGUCGUGAAGAGGGAAACAACCCAGACCGCCAGCUAAGGUCCCAAAGUCAUGGUUAAGUGGGAAACGAUGUGGGAAGGCCCAGACAGCCAGGAUGUUGGCUUAGAAGCAGCCAUCAUUUAAAGAAAGCGUAAUAGCUCACUGGUCGAGUCGGCCUGCGCGGAAGAUGUAACGGGGCUAAACCAUGCACCGAAGCUGCGGCAGCGACGCUGAUGCGUUGUUGGGUAGGGGAGCGUUCUGUAAGCCUGCGAAGGUGACCUGUGAGGGUUGCUGGAGGUAUCAGAAGUGCGAAUGCUGACAUAAGUAACGAUAAAGCGGGUGAAAAGCCCGCUCGCCGGAAGACCAAGGGUUCCUGUCCAACGUUAAUCGGGGCAGGGUGAGUCGACCCCUAAGGCGAGGCCGAAAGGCGUAGUCGAUGGGAAACGGGUUAAUAUUCCCGUACUUGGUGUUACUGCGAAGGGGGGACGGAGAAGGCUAUGUUGGCCGGGCGACGGUUGUCCCGGUUUAAGCGUGUAGGUGUGUGUUCCAGGUAAAUCCGGUUCACUUUAACACUGAGGCGUGAUGACGAGGCACUACGGUGCUGAAGCAACAAAUGCCCUGCUUCCAGGAAAAGCCUCUAAGCAUCAGGUAACAUCAAAUCGUACCCCAAACCGACACAGGUGGUCAGGUAGAGAAUACCAAGGCGCUUGAGAGAACUCGGGUGAAGGAACUAGGCAAAAUGGUGCCGUAACUUCGGGAGAAGGCACGCUGACACGUAGGUGAAGUGAUUUACUCACGGAGCUGAAGUCAGUCGAAGAUACCAGCUGGCUGCAACUGUUUAUUAAAAACACAGCACUGUGCAAACACGAAAGUGGACGUAUACGGUGUGACGCCUGCCCGGUGCCGGAAGGUUAAUUGAUGGGGUCAGCGCAAGCGAAGCUCCUGAUCGAAGCCCCGGUAAACGGCGGCCGUAACUAUAACGGUCCUAAGGUAGCGAAAUUCCUUGUCGGGUAAGUUCCGACCUGCACGAAUGGCGUAAUGAUGGCCAGGCUGUCUCCACCCGAGACUCAGUGAAAUUGAACUCGCUGUGAAGAUGCAGUGUACCCGCGGCAAGACGGAAAGACCCCGUGAACCUUUACUAUAGCUUGACACUGAACAUUGAGCCUUGAUGUGUAGGAUAGGUGGGAGGCUUUGAAGUGUGGACGCCAGUCUGCAUGGAGCCGACCUUGAAAUACCACCCUUUAAUGUUUGAUGUUCUAACGUGGACCCGUUACCCGGGUUGCGGACAGUGUCUGGUGGGUAGUUUGACUGGGGCGGUCUCCUCCUAAAGAGUAACGGAGGAGCACGAAGGUUGGCUAAUCCUGGUCGGACAUCAGGAGGUUAGUGCAAUGGCAUAAGCCAGCUUGACUGCGAGCGUGACGGCGCGAGCAGGUGCGAAAGCAGGUCAUAGUGAUCCGGUGGUUCUGAAUGGAAGGGCCAUCGCUCAACGGAUAAAAGGUACUCCGGGGAUAACAGGCUGAUACCGCCCAAGAGUUCAUAUCGACGGCGGUGUUUGGCACCUCGAUGUCGGCUCAUCACAUCCUGGGGCUGAAGUAGGUCCCAAGGGUAUGGCUGUUCGCCAUUUAAAGUGGUACGCGAGCUGGGUUUAGAACGUCGUGAGACAGUUCGGUCCCUAUCUGCCGUGGGCGCUGGAGAACUGAGGGGGGCUGCUCCUAGUACGAGAGGACCGGAGUGGACGCAUCACUGGUGUUCGGGUUGUCAUGCCAAUGGCACUGCCCGGUAGCUAAAUGCGGAAGAGAUAAGUGCUGAAAGCAUCUAAGCACGAAACUUGCCCCGAGAUGAGUUCUCCCUGAGACUUAAAGUCUCCUGAAGGAACGUUGAAGACGACGACGUUGAUAGGCCGGGUGUGUAAGCGCAGCGAUGCGUUGAGCUAACCGGUACUAAUGAACCGUGAGGCUUAACCUUACAACGCCGAAG
rnacentral:rRNA from 7 species